GCCUGGUGGACUACAGUCUAUGGGGUCUCAAAGAGUUGGACAUGACUUAACAACUGAGCACACACAAGAAAUCUAACAAUAAGGAAGGUUUUUAUAUAUAGCAAUGGAAUAGUCUCCAAGGUACACUCAGUUAAAAGUAAAGUGCAGGACAAUGUAGAUGCUGUUUGAAUUAAAAUGGGGAAAGAUAUAUAUGUAUUUGCAUGAGUAUAAAUACAGAAAAUGUCUUGGACUUGUAACAAAAAACUGCCUAGGUAGAUGUGGUCCGGGAGACCGGAGAGAGAAGUGGAAAAGAGUCUUCACUAUACCCUAUGCAUCUUUUGAAUUUCGAAUCAUGUGAAUGUCUUAUCCCCCAAAUAGAUACAAUUAUUAAUAUGAGAAAGAUUUUGCAAUAGUUGAAGUCAAAGAUAAUCUGAGGCAAUAGGAAUGGCAAAGAGGUUUGUUCAUUAGAGAAAUAAAUGCUUGAAACAAGUUUUUUAAUGAAGAGAGAAAUGCUUGAAAUUGAGAGGAACCACAGCCUCCACUGCACCCACUUCAGCACCCUCACAAAGCCUGCCCUAAGCCACAGCACAGCCUUAGCUUGUUUUAGGCCACUUAAGACGAAUGGGAUGGGAGUCCCCUUGCUCUAGCUUUUAAAUCCUGGCUAGCUUGAAGCGAUUAGCAGCAGCAGCAGCAGCUUCUCCCUUGUUUUUCAUAAAUAUUUUGGGUAACCAAGGGAAUUUAAUAGAUGAGAUUAUCUGGGAAAAGACUGGUUUACCCCAUCCUUUCUUGUCCAUUUUUGUAUAUCCUGAACUCUCCUAUUCGGUAUAUGCAGACCUGUGUGAUUUACAGCUUUAAAUGCCUCAGGAAACGGCAGAAGUUUGUUACAUUCUUUCUCCAACCACAACCGACCACCCAGGGAGGGAGUGGGGAGAGGCCUACGACCAAGGGGAGGGUCCAAGCCUGAGGAUCAUUUGAGUAGAGCGUCUCCAAGCCAGGCUUUUCUUCUGCUCCUCCCCUUCACUGUGUUUCGGUCUCGGGUCCAUCCCUGGCUUACACUAGUGGCUGGAUCUGCUGGGGGCUGCCCUUGGGGCGGAAGCCGGAGUCGUUCCCCCGCGGCCCGAGGCACGGAUUCCUUUGUCUCCCAGGCUUCCGCUCGACGGCGCGGGGGUUGCGGCACUAAGACAUUGGGAACCAAUUCCGGCUCCGCUUUUCCGCCUCUGCUCAGCAUCGCGACCUCCAGCCCCCGAGCUCCUACGGAAACCGCCGUGCUCCCCACCUCCCUAACCCACGGUGGCAGCCCCUAUCUCUGAUCUCCUCGGGUUUCGCCUUCUUUCCCAGUGAGGUGUCCGUAACAUCUUAUCCUGUGUCCGGGCCCCGGCGCUGCGAACAUUGCAAACCUCGAACUCUGCGAACCUACUGUAGUCCUCAGCCUUAGGAAACUCACGGCUCACUUCCCGAACAGGCUAGUGGUGAAAGCUAACCCCACUCCCAGGACUGAGAAAGAGCAAGCGGUCACCCCUAGGGUGGUGGCGGGUCAGUCUUCUCAUUGUAGUGUGUUCAGCCUCUUCCUCGGCGAGGUCCUUGUAACCCUGGGGGUUGUGCCCCGCGCGCUGCAACCCCAUUGGCGCAGCCAGGGGCCAGUUAUGUUUCCCAAUCUAGUCCUUUUAUCACGCAGCAACUUGGCUUUCUGUUCCGAAAGGGAGAGGUGGCGACUUGAGCUUCACCCGCGAAACUCACUUUGUUAAAAGUGCAGGGUGCAAGCCGAGGGCCCCAGCGGCAUAUUGUUACACAAACCUCAUUCCUGUGCCUUCGUUCCUUUUUGCCACCCUUUCUUAUCAUCUGUAGUACUUUCUUAAUUGUUUUCUUUAAAUUGAUUUAAUUUUAAGGUUUAAGUGCUUUAGUCUUGAUCUAACUAGUCCAGGGAUUUCAUGGACUAGUUACAGUUUUUUUAAAUACAAGUUAAAAUAAAAACAUAAUUAAUCAAAUAAAAUUGUUCAAUUUUGUAUCAGAAGUCAUCUUGCAGACCACCAGUUGUACCAUGGGAACACUUUGGAAAUAAUGUAUUAGACCAUGCCGUGUGUGUAAAAUAAUUCCAUACCUGCAGAACAGUGUUACCUAAUCAUUUUCUGUGGUUGGGGAGAUCAGGCUGGCGGCCUUGGAGCAGCAUGGGAACCAGACAAUUUGGGGUGCAGAUUUAAAAUUUUAUAAAUCCUGGUACAAAUUUACUAAACCUCUUUUGCUUGUGUCCAAAAUUUGUAUUGUAAAGUCAAAAAUGGAAAUUAACCACUACACCCUGCUGCUGCCUUCUCUGAGAAGUGAAUCCUUAUAGAGAUUCUUGUACCUUGAGAAGUUAGUCCUUAAAUCAACAAAGGUUAAUUAUUGCACUUACCAUGUACUAGUUUCUGGAUACAAUAAUGAAUCAGACAAGGUCCCUAUCUUAUGAAACUUAUAAAGAAAAUAACUAUGGAAUAAGUAAAUAUCCAUAUCUCUUAUUAAAAAAUUCCAGAUGGACUAAACAGCUACAUGUAAGAUCUAAAACUAGAAAAAUCCUUAGAAAAAAAUAAGAUAUGUUAUAUUCUGAUAUUAUCAAUGGGGUAGGAAAUACCUUUUUUAAAGACACAGGAAUUUCUUGGUGGUCUAGUGGUUAGGACUCUCCACUUCCACUGCAGGAGGCAGGGGUUCAAUCCCUGGUCUGCAGCUAAGAUCCUAUGUGAGGCAGGGUGGCCACAAAGACACAGAAGCCAUAAAGGAGAAGACUGAGAAAUUUAACUCAUAAAAUUUAACCUUAGUUUUGCAAGAAACAUUAUAAGCAAAGUUAAAAAAGGUAGAUACCGAGAGAAAAUAUUCACAACAUAAAU
ensembl:lncRNA